rnacentral:misc_RNA from 2 species
AACGCACAUUGCGCCCCUUGGUAUUCCAUGGGGCAUGCCUGUUCGAGCGUCAUCUACACCCUCAAGCACUGCUUGGUGAUGGGCGUCUGUCCCCCCUCCGCGCACGGACUCGCCCCAAAGACAUUGGCAGCGGUCCUGACCGCCUCUCGCGCAGCACAUUUGCGCUCCUUGAGGCGUCGGGGGCCUGCGUCCACGAAGCCUAUCUUUAUUUUUUUUGACCUCGGAUCAGGUAGGGAUACCCGCUGAACUUAA